rnacentral:lncRNA from 1 species
UUAUGAUCCUCAGUGAAGACAAGUGAAAUCUGUACUGUAACAUGGACUAGCAUUCAGGAACAAUUUACUACUGAGCAGUGGAUGAUCUAAAUGCUGCCAUUGCUUUCUUGAUCCAUGACAUGCCUUAACAUUGCCUUUGGAAGUCUAACUCUAGGAAAUAUUUUCAGACUGCCUUCUAAAGGAGACUGACCUGAGACGCAUGGCAUCAUUAAAUUGGGAAUGAUGCUGGACAUGCACUGCAACCACAGAAGUGAAAGGAUGGAGCCUCAGGUUACUGUCAGGCAGCCUGGGCUGUUUACUGCUUCCCAAGUGCUGCUGUUCGCUGUGCAGAGGAAGCCGGCAACUGUGUGUGAAGGAUCAAAAAGAGAGCAUCAAGCUCCAUUCCUGUAAUUUACUCAGGGAUUGUUUCUUCACGUCUUUUAUUCUCAGCAUAAGUGGAUUGAUUCAAGGAUGAAAAUGGAAGGCAUUUCUCUCUACAGAGCACAUUUCAAUUUAAUCGGAUUUUUCUCUCUAUAGAAGUGGGCCACAGAGCUAUUACCCAAUGUCAUGUAUAAGUAAUUCCACCUCUGUUUUUUACUUUAUAUCUGAUAACUGGGGUUCUGUAGAAAUCAAAAGCUGACACAUUUGAAUUAUGUUAUCCUUUACUAUACUGAAUAUGGAGUAAGAAAUGCAGAACGCAAGGAGGUCCCCUCCACCUCAGUUAGAGAUGAAUCUGUAAAUCCAGGUUACACUGGCCAGAGUGCUCUCAUGCUCUUGUUUUCCUGAUAACUGCCUUCCACAAAUGCAGUUUGCCUCUGUCUGCGUGCCGCUGGUCCAUACCUUAUAUUUUUCUCUUUUUUUUCCUUGUUUUCUCUUUCUGGAAGUUUAAAUCUGAGUCCCAAUCUAUUUCUUAUUUUAUCUUACUUUUCC